rnacentral:misc_RNA from 1 species
GAGAGAGAGAGAGAGAGAGAAGAUUAGGGAAGAAAUAAAAAGAAUAGAGAAGAGCAACGAGUGAAUAGAUAUAUAAGAAAAGCAAAAGAAGUUAACAAAUUAAGAGGGAUGAGGUAGAGUAGAUAAUAGCUAUGUUGCUUAGACUUGGCUGGGGUGGUGUGGAUAUGUAUUCAAGAACUCAUCUAGUUCCAAAUUUUAGGCUAUGGAAACUCUGUAAAAGAAUCCGAAUUAAAUUUCAAAAUUAGUUGUUUAUAUAAAUUUAGCAUGUAUGUAUGUUUCAUUCAAUAACGAUCUUCACUUACAUUCUGAAAUCAGGCUCUAAUUCUGGAGUUUAAGAUACCUUGGAUUCUACAAAUUAAAUGCCUUAAUAAUUAAUCAAACAUUAAACAUUUUCUUUCAAGAAAUAUUGGACAUAUAAGAAAGAUUACUAGUGCUACACUGAAGUCUACUGCAUGAAGAUUAGUGGAAAUAGAUUGGAGUCACAUCGAUAACAUGGUCAAUCCACCCAAUCCAAUUAUUUAAAAGGAAUGAUCUUAUUACAUACAUGGUUUGCCUUUGGCUAGUCCUUCAUUUUCCCUUUUUAGUCCCUCAAAUUCUAGUAUCCAAUAGGAUGAUUUAAC